rnacentral:tRNA from 3 species
GUAAAUAUAGUUUAUCCAAAACACUAGACUGUGACUCUAGAAACAGAAGCUAUUAUCUUCUUAUUUACC